GGCAAAAUCCCAAAAGAGGGUAAUGGUUUAGAAGGAUCAUGAAGUUAGUCAUGGUAAUAAUUUAAACAAUAACACAAGAACCACGUAGGUCAAACAUGAUAUGUCAAGAACCCGAGAGAUAUGGUUUUCUUACAUCAGAACAAACUGAUGCAUUGUUUAUGGAGCAAGAUGAGCCUCUGACUUACCAAUACUAGUCCUGAAUCUGAGAAGUGGCUUGAAGUCAUGAAAUCUGAACAAAAUGAAUGAUGUGUCGUAGAGACCAAAUUGAAAGUAAAUAAUAUGGAAAAGCAACCAGUUUGGUCCCUGUAUGUGCAGCUCGAUGUCAUAAUGGUUCAUGACUUAGGAUCGUGUGAUGUGGUAUUAUGGACUAAAUUGAAAUAAGAUGAUCUCCAACGUCUUCAUCAUCUUCAACAAUAUGACCUUCAUGACAAAAACCUAAAAAUUUGUUAACAACAAUCGUCAUUUUCUUAAUCAUCUCAAUAAACUCUAUCAUUUUCUUGAAACAACCCCUCUUCCCAUUAUUUCUACAAUCAACUGAGGAAUUGAAAGAAAGGAAAAGAAACAAAUCGAGUUAAGAAGUCUUCGCUCUUUUAACGUGUUUGUUUGGGUGGUGAGCAUCCUUUGAAAUUGAAAGCACGCAAUUCAAUUUUCCAAGACCAAAUUAUGUUCCAACAACGUGGAAGUACUUUUCCAUACACAUAGGACAAUAAUUAUCAGAUUCACAUUUGAAUUUUUCUUUAUGAUAGAACUCUCAUUCAUAAUAUUGAUUAUAAUCGUAGAAUUAUUCUUUCUUUUUUUCGCAUAGUAGUUUGAAUGUGUUUUGCUUUUGUGGACUUAAUUUCCACGAAAAGACUCACUUUUGACUUUUCU
rnacentral:lncRNA from 1 species